AGCGAACGUUUGCGGCGGGCCUAACACAUGCAAGUCGAACGAGCAGGGGCAACCCUGUCAGUGGCGCACGGGUGCGUAACACGUGGGUAAUCAACCCUUUGGACUGGGACAACCCGGGGAAACUCGGGCUAAUACCGGAUGUGGCGUGGCGGUCCUCGGACUGCUCCGCGAAAGCUCCGCAAGGGGCACCAGAGGACGAGCCCGCGUCCCAUCAGCUAGUUGGUGAGGUAAUGGCUCACCAAGGCGAAGACGGGUAGCUGGUCUGAGAGGAUGAUCAGCCACACUGGAACUGAGACACGGUCCAGACUCCUACGGGAGGCAGCAGUGGGGAAUAUUGCGCAAUGGGCGAAAGCCUGACGCAGCCACGCCGCGUGUGCGAUGAAGGUCUUCGGAUCGUAAAGCACUGUGGGGGGAGAAGAAACAAGCCGGUGAAGAGCCGGCCCUGACGGUAUCCCCUUAGCAAGCACCGGCUAACUCCAUGCCAGCAGCCGACGG
rnacentral:rRNA from 1 species